AACCAGACUCCUACGGGAGGCAGCAGUGGGGAAUAUUGCACAAUGGGGGAAACCCUGAUGCAGCGACGCCGCGUGAGCGAUGAAGUAUUUCGGUAUGUAAAGCUCUAUCAGCAGGGAAGAAAAUGACGGUACCUGACUAAGAAGCCCCGGCUAACUACGUGCCAGCAGCCGCGGUAAUACGUAGGGGGCAAGCGUUAUCCGGAAUUACUGGGUGUAAAGGGAGCGUAGACGGCAGUGCAAGUCUGAAGUGAAAUGCGGGGGCCCAACCCCGGAACUGCUUUGGAAACUGUGCCGCUGGAGUGCAGGAGAGGCAAGUGGAAUUCCUAGUGUAGCGGUGAAAUGCGUAGAUAUUAGGAGGAACACCAGUGGCGAAGGCGGCUUGCUGGACUGUAACUGACGUUGAGGCUCGAAAGCGUGGGGAGCAAACAGGAUUAGAUACCCUUGUA
rnacentral:rRNA from 1 species